GAUUAACGCUGGCGGCAUGCCUAAUACAUGCAAGUCGAACGGAAGCAGCAAUGCUUUAGUGGCGAACGGGUGAGUAACACGUAGGGAACCUACCUAUACGACGAGGAUAACUACUGGAAACGGUAGCUAAAACUGGAUAGGAUCAAUUGAGGCAUCUUGAUUGAUUUAAAGAUCCUUCGGGAUUACGUAGAGAUGGCCCUGCGGCGCAUUAGCUAGUUGGUGAGGUAACGGCCCACCAAGGCGACGAUGCGUAGCUGAGCUGAGAGGCUAAACAGCCACACUGGGACUGAGACACGGCCCAGACUCCUACGGGAGGCAGCAGUAGGGAAUUUUCGGCAAUGGGGGAAACCCUGACCGAGCAAUGCCGCGUGAACGAUGAAGGUCUUCGGAUUGUAAAGUUCUGUGAUUGGGGAAGAAUGGUAUUCUUAGGGAAUGAGGAGUACAUGACGGUACCCGAUUAGAAAG
rnacentral:rRNA from 1 species